rnacentral:rRNA from 1 species
CAGUUCAGACUGCAGGCUGCAACUCGACUGCGUGAAGUCGGAAUCGCUAGUAAUCGCGGAUCAGCAUGCCGCGGUGAAUACGUUCCCGGGCCUUGUACACACCGCCCGUCACACCAUGAGAGUCGGGAACACCCGAAGUCCGUAGCCUAACCGCAAGGGGGCGCGGCCGAAGGUGGGUUCGAUAAUUGGGGUGAAGUCGUAACAAGGUAAC